rnacentral:rRNA from 1 species
UAGGGAAUCUUCGGCAAUGGACGGAAGUCUGACCGAGCAACGCCGCGUGAGUGAAGAAGGUUUUCGGAUCGUAAAGCUCUGUUGUAAGAGAAGAACGAGUGUGAGAGUGGAAAGUUCACACUGUGACGGUAUCUUACCAGAAAGGGACGGCUAACUACGUGCCAGCAGCCGCGGUAAUACGUAGGUCCCGAGCGUUGUCCGGAUUUAUUGGGCGUAAAGCGAGCGCAGGCGGUUAGAUAAGUCUGAAGUUAAAGGCUGUGGCUUAACCAUAGUAGGCUUUGGAAACUGUUUAACUUGAGUGCAAGAGGGGAGAGUGGAAUUCCAUGUGUAGCGGUGAAAUGCGUAGAUAUAUGGAGGAGCACCGGUGGCGAAAGCGGCUCUCUGGCUUGUAACUGACGCUGAGGCUCGAAAGCGUGGGGAGCAAACAGGAUUAGAUACCCUGGUAGUCCACGCCGUAAACGAUGAGUGCUAGGUGUUAGACCCUUUCCGGGGUUUAGUGCCGUAGCUAACGCAUUAAGCACUCCGCCUGGGGAGUAUGACCGCAAGGUUG